rnacentral:rRNA from 1 species
AACGAACGCUGGCGGCAGGCCUAACACAUGCAAGUCGAACGCCGUAGCAAUACGGAGUGGCAGACGGGUGAGUAACACGUGGGAACGUACCCUUCGGUUCGGAAUAACUCAGGGAAACUUGAGCUAAUACCGGAUACGUCCGAGAGGAGAAAGAUUUAUCGCCGAGGGAUCGGCCCGCGUCUGAUUAGCUUGUUGGUGAGGUAACGGCUCACCAAGGCGACGAUCAGUAGCUGGUCGAGAGGAUGAUCAGCCACAUUGGGACUGAGACACGGCCCAAACUCCUACGGGAGGCAGCAGUGGGGAAUAUUGGACAAUGGGGGCAACCCUGAUCCAGCGACGCCGCGUGUGUGAAGAAGGCCUGCGGGUUGUAAAGCUCUUUUGUCAGGGAAGAAACGGUGGAGGCUAAUAUCCUUUG